UCCAGACUCCUACGGGAGGCAGCAGUGGGGAAUCUUCCGCAAUGGGCGAAAGCCUGACGGAGCAACGCCGCGUGAUCGAAUGAAGGCCUUCGGGUUGUAAAGAUCUGUUGACAGGGACGAAUAAGCAAUGCGAAUAGUUUUGUGUAUGACGGUACCUGUUUAGAAAGCUCCGGCUAACUACGUGCCAGCAGCCGCGGUAAUACGGAGGGUGCGAGCGUUAAUCGGAAUUACUGGGCGUAAAGCGCACGUAGGCUGUAUGACAAGUCAAGGGUGAAAUGCCACGGCUCAACCGUGGAACUGCCUUUGAAACUGUCAAACUGGAGUAUGUGAGAGGGCGGCGGAAUUCCUGGUGUAGGAGUGAAAUCCGUAGAUAUCAGGAGGAACAUCAGUGGCGAAGGCGGCCGCCUGGCACAAAACUGACGCUGAGGUGCGAAAGCGUGGGUAGCAAACAGGAUUAGAUACCCUUGUA
rnacentral:rRNA from 1 species